rnacentral:lncRNA from 1 species
UGACAAUGGUAAUCAGUAGGAAUAAUACAUCCCUUUCCUUAUUUUCAAAUGUUAUUAAACACAUGCCAUGUGGAUGGAGAUAUGAGUGCUAUUAAGAAAAGACAUGUCCCUUGCUUAUACAGAAGGCAUUUUGAAAUGACUUAGGAGCUGAGACUUUGAAGCCAAAGAGUUCUUGCCUUGGUCCUGAAUCCUGGCUUUAUUUAUAUACUCUGAGCAAGUUACUUAACUUCUCUAAGUCCCAAUUUUCUCGCUUAUAGAAAAGGUCAGUGAGUCUCUGUAACAGAUAGGAUUAAAUGAGAUAAAGUAUAGAAAGCACAGACAGUCUCUAAAUAAAUAUUAGCUGUUAUUGUUGUACAGGACAGCACUGUUCUAAAGAUGACAAAGGGCUUAUAAAGGGAUUGAGUAACUGAACGUUCAUAUAUACAUGGGGACAUGUGAAAACCAAAGUGCAGAUAGAGCAUAUGCAUGUGUAUUACACAAUAUUUAUAUUUGUUCUAUAUUUGGAAACUUGUUUUCCCUUUUACUAACAGCAUAGCCUUUGUAGAACAUUAAAUCCUGGGAAUUCAGGAUUCCUCUAAUUUCUUAGAUUCAAAUUCAGACUUGCUUCUCCUGAAGUAUCAGCUUGUCCUAGCAUGACCUAGGUCUAGAUACUAUAGUUGCCACUCUGUCUUCAAAAUAACAUCCCAGGAGUUCCUGUCAUGGCGAAGGGGAAACGAAUCUGACCAGGAACCAUGAGGUUGAGGGUUCGAUUCCUGGCCUUACUCAGUGGGUUAAAGAUCCAGCGUUGCUGUGAGCUGUGGUGUAGGUUGAAGACAUGGCUUGGAUCUGGCAUUGCUGUGGCUGCACUGAUUUAGUGCCUUAGAGCAGGGCUUCUCAACUUUAACGUGCAUAUGACUAACCUGGGGAUGCUGCUGAAAUGCAGAUUCUGUCUCAGGAGGUCUGGGGUGGGGAGAUUUGCCUUUUUCACAAACUUCUGAAUGAUGCUGGUGCUGCAGGUCUGAGGAGCCCCUUUGAGUAGCAAGUCUUUAGAGUUUGCCAAGUAGUUUCCUUGUCAUCCCAUUCAAUCCUCAUGACAAGCCUGUGAGGUACAUCAAACAUCACACAUCCCCAUUUUACAGAAGUAGAGGCAGGUUCAGUGAGGGAAACAGUCUUGCCCAGGGUUGUGCAACCAGUAAGACCUUCAUUCAAUUAUCGAAAUCUAAGUCCAGUGCUUUUCUUCCACAUGACUGGGGCUCCUCUGUCUACCUCAGCUCUUGGCCUGUGACGCUGCUUAGGGAAAUGACAUGUCAAGUCUUUCCAUGUUAGAGAGCUGGUCAGCAGUACAUAGCUAUGCAUAGUAUAAACAGUACACGGCUACAUAUGGUCCCAGUGCUUGUACCCUGUUAGAUCGGCUCCUUUGUGUUGCCCGUUGGCAUUCAACCUACUUGCUAGCCCUGUCCACUUUAUACUGCGUCCGCAGGUAGGUACAAAAUUCCUGAUUUCUCAUUUUUGGAGUGUAAAUAAAUAAAUUUUUGGAGGCUUUACAGUGACGUUUGGAGGCUCAAGUAUAGAUGGAUACUUAAAGGAUCAAUCUAUGAGAAGUAAUACAGGCAGUACACAUAGAAUUGGAAGAAGAGAUUAAACAUCUUCCCACUGAUGAUGAUAAUUGACAAAAUGAGAAUAACAUAAGGUAGAUAUUGACAAAAUGGAUAAACACAUGGGCUUUGAAGUUUUGAAUCUCGUGUUAUGUCUCUUACCAACUUUGGGCCGGUUACUUAGCCUCUCUGUGCUUUGAUUUCCUUGCAUGUUAAAAGAAGUGGGUUUCUGUGACAACUAAAAGAUUUAAUUAAUUCACAGCAGUGCCCAGCACAUAGUAAUCACCCAAUAAAUAACAGUCGCUGUCAUUAUUGCCAAGAUAUCAACCCCCUUAUUUUUAAUAGGGAGCCACAGAGGCCCCAAACACUUAAGUGACUUUGGCAUUUAUUAACAAAUGACCAGCUUUGGGAGCUUGUGCUUUGUAGCAGACCUUUACUAGUUGACAACUAGACUAAUGUUACAAGAUGGGAAGUAGUGGAGCUGAUAACUGAAUACACACCCUCUGAUUUCUAGUCCAUUAUGAUAGUGCGAGUGUAUGUUCACCACGGCCGCUGUCACUCUGGAUCUGCAAUGGUUCUUUGAUAUUUCAAACAAUUCCCACAGCAGCAGUCACUGCGGUAGCCACCAAGCUAUAUUUUCUAUCCCCAUUUGUUUUCUUGGCAUGAAGGUGCCAAGAGCAUGGACCAAAAGGCAGGGAAUCUGGAGCUGAGACACAGGCGCCACAGAGCUGGCCAACAGGGUGCCUGGCAUGCAGGUCUGGAGUGAGGCCAGUGCCUGGUAUUGUUCUCUGCAGACGUAAAUGUCCAACCUCCCCCAGAUUGUUGGGUUUAGAAUUGCAUUGUUUACCUGGCUGAAGGUAGUGCCAUUGGUAUCUACCUUUCCAAAGACUGGGGGAUUCUGGUUACCGGGGGCUGGGGGCAGGGCCCUGGCUUGCAGCUGACCCCUCUGCUGCUUCAUGCAGUUCUCUGUUUCCACUGGAUUUAAAAGCCGUUGUCACCAGGGAAUCUCUAGCUCUGCGCUUUGGUGGUUUUUGUUGGGAAUAGCCUCUCCCCAGGGCUCAAGUUUCAGGUAAGGUCUCUGGUGUGUAACAUAGAUAAGCACAGAGAGAAAGAAAAAUCUUUUAUUACUUAUGUGAAACCAGGUAUGUGCAAAUAAACAAUGAAGAAGAACAAGUGAAUUCAAGAGAGGAACUGUGUAAACUCCCAAGAGGCUAAUUUACCCAUCUCUCCAAACUCAGAGUCGGUUAACAUUUCACUACUUUGCUUUCUCCUUCAUUAAGAAUGCAAAUUUAUGGUCGACGGUGGCAAUUAGAAGGGUACAUUUCCUUAAAAAACCAAGCCUCUUAUUGCAAAUAUUUAUCUCUUAUUACAAACUAUUUCCAUGUUAUCGACUAAAUCCUCCUUCAACAAAGCCAUCAGUAACAUCUCCUGUAUGGGAAGCCUGUCUGUGCAGAAAACCCAGAAAUGAUGAAAACAGACUUUCAUAGUCACUCUAGGCCGGGAGAAUUCACCGUCCCAGUUACAGAGUUUUUGGAUUGCACAGCAGAGGGGGCUCCAAGGUGGGAGGGUGCAAGGUGGGAGGUGCUGUGGUCCUUGGCCUUUACACAGGGAAUGAGAAGUUAGUAAUGUUGAUGUCCCAAUGCACUAAUUUAUGGAAUUGGACAAAGUUCAAUUUUUUCAAUAUUGUUUUAUUAUAGUCACACAUGAAUGUGAUUUCAGAAGUUGAAUGGGAACUAGUGAGCCUAUUGUUAAGCUAUGGUUCUCACAUGCACACCCAUUUCACCCUCCAGAGGCAACUCUUUGUUCUUAAACUGGGUCCGUUUUUCUAAAUGAUAUACAUAUGCUGCUAUCAUUUAUCAACUGUAGACAUGAAAGUGUGUGAAGAUUCUAGCUCUUCUCCCUCAUCCUGCAAUAUAUUUAUUUCAAAGUUUAAUAACAAUUCAGAUUCUGUGUUUUCAUUUUUCUGGAUGGAAAUAUUCAUUGCCAAGCCUAGAAGUAUGACUAUAUUUUCUGCAAAUGUUUGUUGUUACUGUUGCUGUUUUCUGGGCUCAGUGUCUUGCAGCUGUUGGGAUAUCUUUCAUCGAACGCACUCUCUUCUUUAGACCAAUGGCCAGAAUUGUUGGGCCCUGUGGUCGACAGAGCUCUCCUUUAGCAGCACCUCUUCUGGCAGCACAUUCAACUAGAUUGAUUCCCUGUUGGCUUCUGCCCAACCUCACACAGCAGCAAAAUGUGAGGCCCAGCAAUGGCCUAAGAUUCAUAAGUUGGCAAGAAGAGAGAACAACGUUGUAAAUAAAGGCAAGAGGCAAUCCUGAGCAUGGAAUUGUCUAGAAAGGGUUUUCUGAGAUCUUCAGAUGCUGCAUGCUAUAAAAUCUUAACUAAAUGUGGGCACUGUCAGGGAAUAGUUUUAGAAUCAAGUGGGGAUUUUCUGUUCUCUUGAUAAAUACGCUGAAGCCUGAAAGUCGAUUCCAUUCAGAAAUACAUUAUUUGGGUCACAAAACUUGGACUCACCCACCCCAGGUUUAACCAACAGAUCCCUUUUGGCUGGAUCUUUUUAAUCCUCCUUUUCUCAUCACUAGGUGAGGAAAGU